rnacentral:lncRNA from 1 species
CCGCUGUAGAGACACUGUAGAUCCCAGUGCACCACAGGGGGAACUCAUGGGUCCUAUUUUUGUCUGUUUGCUUUUUAAGGCUAUUUGAAGUCUCAGUUUCCAGAAGAGCCAGCAUUCAGUGGGGGUCACGGGGUCAGAAAGCUGUUCUGAUGGUGGGAUCAUGGAGAAUCAGAGAAGACAAUGUGGAUGCUUCCCCAGGCUGCCUCCAGGACCAGUCCCUGGGGACAAGGAGAGAGACAGCAAUCCAGGCAUGGGAGGGUCUGCGAUCAGUCACCCUGUCCAGAGCCCCCAGCCAUGACACCGCUGGAUCAGGGAUCAAACCACUGCAGUCAGAUUCUUAACCACAGUGCCACAGCGGGAACUCCUAAGCAGGUGACUCUGAAUGAAUGCAGCCUAUUCACCCAUGAGCCAUCAGUUCCAGUUCCUUCUGCAUCCUCCCUGUCUCAGAGUGAAGCCCACGGUCCCAGGAGGAAGUUCCGAAGAUGUUCUAGUCCUAACCCUGGACAUGGCCAGGCGCCAGGCCAUCCCAGCACAGGAUGCAGCAGCCAGGUGCCUUAG